AGCAGAGUGGCGCAGUGGAAGCGCGCAUGGGCUUGAAACCCUAGAGGUCCGUAGAUCGAAACUACGCUCUGCUG
rnacentral:tRNA from 1 species